GCAACCUGCCCCUGACUCCGGGAUAAGCGGUGGAAACGCCGUCUAAUACCGGAUACGACCCGCCACCUCAUGGUGGAGGGUGGAAAGUUUUAUCGGUCAGGGAUGGGCUCGCGGCCUAUCAGCUUGUUGGUGGGGUAACGGCCUACCAAGGCGAUUACGGGUAGCCGGCCUGAGAGGGCGACCGGCCACACUGGGACUGAGACACGGCCCAGACUCCUGCGGGAGGCAGCAGUGGGGAAUAUUGCACAAUGGGCGAAAGCCUGAUGCAGCGACGCCGCGUGGGGGAUGACGGCCUUCGGGUUGUAAACCUCUUUUACCACCAACGCAGGCUCCACGUUCUCGUGGGGUUGACGGUAGGUGGGGAAUAAGGACCGGCUAACUACGUGCCAGCAGCCGCGGUAAUACGUAGGGUCCGAGCGUUGUCCGGAAUUAUUGGGCGUAAAGAGCUCGUAGGCGGCAUGUCGCGUCUGCUGUGAAAGACCGGGGCUUAACUCCGGUUCUGCAGUGGAUACGGGCAUGCUAGAGGUAGGUAGGGG
rnacentral:rRNA from 1 species